CAGCCGCGCGGUAAUACGUAGGUGGCAAGCGUUGUCCGGAAUUAUUGGGCGUAAAGGGCUCGCAGGCGGUUUCUUAAGUCUGAUGUGAAAGCCCCCGGCUCAACCGGGGAGGGUCAUUGGAAACUGGGAAACUUGAGUGCAGAAGAGGAGAGUGGAAUUCCACGUGUAGCGGUGAAAUGCGUAGAGAUGUGGAGGAACACCAGUGGCGAAGGCGACUCUCUGGUCUGUAACUGACGCUGAGGAGCGAAAGUGUGGGGAGCGAACAGGAUUAGAUACCCCUGUAGUCCCUGUCUCUUAUACA
rnacentral:rRNA from 1 species